UACGUAGGGUGCGAGCGUUAAUCGGAAUUACUGGGCGUAAAGCGUGCGCAGGCGGUUUUGUAAGCCAGAUGUGAAAUCCCCGGGCUUAACCUGGGAAUGGCAUUUGGGACUGCAAGGCUGGAGUGUGGCAGAGGAGACUGGAAUUCCUGGUGUAGCAGUGAAAUGCGUAGAUAUCUGGAGGAACACCGGUGGCGAAGGCGACAUCCUGGACCGGUAUUGACGCUGAGGCGCGAAAGCCAGGGGAGCAAACGGG
rnacentral:rRNA from 1 species